GGCUCACCUGGCUACCCUGGCAGGCAGGGUUUAGUUGGAGCAGAAGGUAACCCAGGUCCUAAAGGUAUACGAGGUUUCAUUGGUUCCCCUGGAGAAGCAGGACAGCUGGGGAAUGAAGGAGAAAGGGGCAUUCCUGGGAUCCGUGGAAAGAUGGGUAUUAAGGGAAGACAGG